rnacentral:rRNA from 1 species
CCUGGCGGCUUUAGCGCGGUGGUCCCACCUGACCCCAUGCCGAACUCAGAAGUGAAACGCCGUAGCGCCGAUGGUAGUCACCGCGCUAAAGCCGCCAGGC